rnacentral:rRNA from 1 species
AGAGUUUGAUCAUGGCUCAGAUUGAACGCUGGCGGCAGGCCUAACACAUGCAAGUCGAACGGUAACAGGAAUCAGCUUGCUGAUUCGCUGACGAGUGGCGGACGGGUGAGUAAUGUCUGGGAAACUGCCUGAUGGAGGGGGAUAACUACUGGAAACGGUAGCUAAUACCGCAUAAUGUCGCAAGACCAAAGAGGGGGACCUUCGGGCCUCUUGCCAUCGGAUGUGCCCAGAUGGGAUUAGCUAGUAGGUGGGGUAACGGCUCACCUAGGCGACGAUCCCUAGCUGGUCUGAGAGGAUGACCAGCCACACUGGAACUGAGACACGGUCCAGACUCCUACGGGAGGCAGCAGUGGGGAAUAUUGCACAAUGGGCGCAAGCCUGAUGCAGCCAUGCCGCGUGUAUGAAGAAGGCCUUCGGGUUGUAAAGUACUUUCAGCGGGGAGGAAGGGAGUAAAGUUAAUACCUUUGCUCAUUGACGUUACCCGCAGAAGAAGCACCGGCUAACUCCGUGCCAGCAGCCGCGGUAAUACGGAGGGUGCAAGCGUUAAUCGGAAUUACUGGGCGUAAAGCGCACGCAGGCGGUUUGUUAAGUCAGAUGUGAAAUCCCCGGGCUCAACCUGGGAACUGCAUCUGAUACUGGCAAGCUUGAGUCUCGUAGAGGGGGGUAGAAUUCCAGGUGUAGCGGUGAAAUGCGUAGAGAUCUGGAGGAAUACCGGUGGCGAAGGCGGCCCCCUGGACGAAGACUGACGCUCAGGUGCGAAAGCGUGGGGAGCAAACAGGAUUAGAUACCCUGGUAGUCCACGCCGUAAACGAUGUCGACUUGGAGGUUGUGCCCUUGAGGCGUGGCUUCCGGAGCUAACGCGUUAAGUCGACCGCCUGGGGAGUACGGCCGCAAGGUUAAAACUCAAAUGAAUUGACGGGGGCCCGCACAAGCGGUGGAGCAUGUGGUUUAAUUCGAUGCAACGCGAAGAACCUUACCUGGUCUUGACAUCCACGGAAGUUUUCAGAGAUGAGAAUGUGCCUUCGGGAACCGUGAGACAGGUGCUGCAUGGCUGUCGUCAGCUCGUGUUGUGAAAUGUUGGGUUAAGUCCCGCAACGAGCGCAACCCUUAUCCUUUGUUGCCAGCGGUCCGGCCGGGAACUCAAAGGAGACUGCCAGUGAUAAACUGGAGGAAGGUGGGGAUGACGUCAAGUCAUCAUGGCCCUUACGACCAGGGCUACACACGUGCUACAAUGGCGCAUACAAAGAGGAGCGACCUGCGAGAGCAAGCGGACCUCAUAAAGUGCGUCGUAGUCCGGGAUUGGAGUCUGCAACUCGACUCCAUGAAGUCGGAAUCGCUAGUAAUCGUGGAUCAGAAUGCCACGGUGAAUACGUUCCCGGGCCUUGUACACACCGCCCGUCACACCAUGGGAGUGGGUUGCAAAAGAAGUAGGUAGCUUAACCUUCGGGAGGGCGCUUACCACUUUGUGAUUCAUGACUGGGGUGAAGUCGUAACAAGGUAACCGUAGGGGAACCUGCGGUUGGAUCACCU